rnacentral:rRNA from 1 species
AUUGAACGCUGGCGACAUGCCUUACACAUGCAAGUCGAACGGCAGCACGGGUGCUUGCACCUGGUGGCGAGUGGCGAACGGGUGAGUAAUACAUCGGAACAUGUCCUGUAGUGGGGGAUAGCCCGGCGAAAGCCGGAUUAAUACCGCAUACGAUCUACGGAUGAAAGCGGGGGACCUUCGGGCCUCGCGCUAUAGGGUUGGCCGAUGGCUGAUUAGCUAGUUGGUGGGGUAAAGGCCUACCAAGGCGACGAUCAGUAGCUGGUCUGAGAGGACGACCAGCCACACUGGGACUGAGACACGGCCCAGACUCCUACGGGAGGCAGCAGUGGGGAAUUUUGGACAAUGGGCGAAAGCCUGAUCCAGCAAUGCCGCGUGCGUGAAGAAGGCCUUCGGGUUGUAAAGCACUUUUGUCCGGAAAGAAAUCCUUGGCCCUAAUACGGUCGGGGGAUGACGGUACCGGAAGAAUAAGCACCGGCUAACUACGU